rnacentral:rRNA from 1 species
CCUACGGGAGGCUGCAGGGAGGAAGAGGGGGCAAGGGGCGAGAGCCUGAACCAGCCAAGCCGCGUGAAGGAUGACGGCCCUACGUGUUGUAAACUUCUUUUGUCAGGGAGCAAUUGGGUCCACGCGUGGGCUUAGCGAGAGUACCUGAGGAAAAAGCAUCGGCUAACUCCGUGCCAGCAGCCGCGGUAAUACGGAGGAUGCGAGCGUUUUCCGGAUUAUUUGUCUUUAAAGGUUGCGUAGGCGGAAUAUCAAGUCAGCGGUAAAAAGUCGGGGCUCAACCCCGUCGUGCCGUUGAAACUGAUGGUCUUGAGUGGGCGAGAAGUAUGCGGAAUGCGUGGUGUAGCGGUGAAAUGCAUAGAUAUCACGCAGAACUCCGAUUGCGAAGGCAGCAUACCGGCGCCCAACUGACGCUGAAGCACGAAAGCGUGGGUAUCGAACAGGAUUAGAUACCCGUGUAGUC